CCAUGCAGUCGACGGCAGCAUAGGAGCUUGCUCCUGAUGGCGAGUGGCGAACGGGUGAGUAAUAUAUCGGAACGUGCCCUAGAGUGGGGGAUAACUAGUCGAAAGACUAGCUAAUACCGCAUACGAUCUACGGAUGAAAGUGGGGGAUCGCAAGACCUCAUGCUCCUGGAGCGGCCGAUAUCUGAUUAGCUAGUUGGUGGGGUAAAAGCCUACCAAGGCAACGAUCAGUAGCUGGUCUGAGAGGACGACCAGCCACACUGGGACUGAGACACGGCCCAGACUCCUACGGGAGGCAGCAGUGGGGAAUUUUGGACAAUGGGGGCAACCCUGAUCCAGCAAUGCCGCGUGAGUGAAGAAGGCCUUCGGGUUGUAAAGCUCUUUUGUCAGGGAAGAAACGGUAGUAGCGAAUAACUAUUACUAAUGACGGUACCUGAAGAAUAAGCACCGGCUAACUACGUGCCAGCAGCCGCGGUAAUACGUAGGGUGCAAGCGUUAAUCGGAAUUACUGGGCGUAAAGCGUGCGCAGGCGGUUGUGUAAGUCAGAUGUGAAAUCCCCGGGCUCAACCUGGGAAUUGCAUUUGAGACUGCACGGCUAGAGUGUGUCAGAGGGGGGUAGAAUUCCACGUGUAGCAGUGAAAUGCGUAGAUAUGUGGAGGAAUACCGAUGGCGAAGGCAGC
rnacentral:rRNA from 1 species